CAACAUUGUUAAAUGUCUGCAUUGCCAGACCAGAUCCUGGCAGCAAUCCAAAUGUCGUCGACAAUUUACAAAGGAGGAUACCGCCCAUUUGCCCGCCUAAUCAUUAUUGGAUCAAUGGAAAUUGUCGUCCGCUAGUAAGAUCAGCCAGCCCUGUUCAGAGACCCACCGUGAAGCCACAAUGUCCUGGGGGAUACUUACGUGAGGGGGGAGAAUGUAAAGAAUUGUCAAGGAACGUGAUUUCUGUUCCCGAAAAUUGUCCUCCAGGAUAUAUUCUUAUUAAAAAUAAGUGUGAAAAGCCUUGGCAUCUUUGAAUUUUAAAAUCUGCAAGUGAGUAGAAGUAGCUGGCAGACAAGUAACUUACCUUCCCGGCCUUUUAUUUUACAGAGCUGUUCAAGUAAGAAAAUAAUAUGAAUUAAUCCAGUUUUA